CCAGCCUCUACAAUGCUCAGAUGUUCUUUCCCUGCCAGGACUCCUGCAAUGCAGCCUUUCUCUAGUUUCCCUUCCGACCGCUGACGGGAGGGAAGUUCUGCUCAGACCUGCAUUGUGGACUUGACUGUCAAUGUAGAGAGGCGAAGAGAAAAUAGUGAAAUCUGACUUCCAUAGUCAGGUCUACCCAUGCGCAGCAGAAAGAGCUCACCGGAAGGUGUUCCUGGGUUCCGGUGCAGUCCCGGCUUGUGAGGCGGGACUUCCGCCCUGAAGACAGACUCUCUUAUCUCCUCUCAGGGAGGUGGUUGUCUUACAGCUUGAGAACCUGUCAGGCAUUUUGCAGCUUCGGGUGUUCUGCACAUAGUCCUCUUCUCUCAGGGGAGCAGGCACAGGAGUUAUGUGUGUUAAAACGCCAGAUGAGCGAUUUCGUUUGCGAAGUGGGACUGAUCGCUUGAACCAGAGCAGAAGAGUCUGUUCUGUGGAUAACUGGAUGAACCGAACUCACCCUGAACUCCCCAAAGCAGGAUUUCAGGCCUCCCCGAGGGCAGAGCGGGCCUGGUGAUUCCACUGUGCAGAUUCCACCGUCCGGAUCCCACAGUGCAGGAGGCUCUGGCCCUCACCUGGAACCACGAAGCGCCCUAACCUGACCUUUUCGUCCUCUCAUCACAUGGCCCCUCCCCUGCCCUUGAAGAGGAGUGAGGAGUUAAAAAAAUGAAGAUGUGAUGGUUGGAGAUUCAGGCGUCAGCUGGGAAGCCCUAAAGAUGAGGCCCAUGCCCAGAGAAUAUGAUGUAACCUGGGUCCAAGAGGACAUUAUAGAGCCACCAUCCUAGUAUUGCCUUGAAGGAUUGUCCUGAAUAAGUGCAUUCAUCAAGACAGCAAGUCAAGUCAAGCCAUCAGGCAGAUGCAUAACAGCAAACUGCCAUCACAAGGAUGCUUGAAUGUGGAGGGAGUCAUGAAGAUGGGAAAUGAGAUGUACAA